UGGGGAAUUUUCCGCAAUGGGCGCAAGCCUGACGGAGCAACGCCGCGUGAGGGAGGAAGGCUUUUGGGUUGUAAACCUCUUUUCUUAGGGAAGAAGAAAGUGACGGUACCUAAGGAAUCAGCAUCGGCUAACUCCGUGCCAGCAGCCGCGGUAAGACGGAGGCGCUAGCGUUGUUCGGAAUCACUGGGCGUAAAGGGCGCGUAGGCGGCUGCUUAAGUCGAGGGUGAAAGCCCGGGGCUCAACCUCGGAACGGCCUUCGAGACUGGGCGGCUAGAGAUCGGAAGAGGAGGGUGGAAUACCCAGUGUAGAGGUGAAAUUCGUAGAUAUUGGGUGGAACACCAGUGGCGAAAGCGGCUCUCUGGUCCGGAUCUGACGCUGAGGCGCGAAAGCGUGGGGAGCAAACAGGAUUAGAUACCCCC
rnacentral:rRNA from 1 species